rnacentral:tRNA from 1 species
GGCCGAGUGGCGGAACAGGCAGACGCAUCGGACUUAAAAUCCGAUGGGGGGUCACCCCCGUGCGGGUUCGAAUCCCGCCUCGGCUA